CACGGGUCACCACAGCCUUAACCUCUC
rnacentral:piRNA from 1 species